rnacentral:tRNA from 1 species
UCCCUGGUGGCUCAGUGGUAAAGAAUCUGCCUGUGAUGCAGGAAACUCACAGGAGACAUGGGUUCAAUUCCUGAUCUGGGAA